UCCGGCUUAACGCCGGCAGUCUCCCUAGAGUGCCCAACCGAAUGGUGGCAACUAAGGACGAGGGUUGCGCUCGUUGCGGGACUUAACCCAACACCUCACGACACGAGCUGACGACAGCCAUGCAGCACCUGUCUUACGGUUCCCGAAGGCACCCUCCUGUUUCCAGGAGGUUCCGUAGAUGUCAAGUCCAGGUAAGGUUCUGCGCGUUGCUUCGAAUUAAACCACAUGCUCCACCGCUUGUGCGGGCCCCCGUCAAUUCCUUUGAGUUUCAGUCUUGCGACCGUACUUCCCAGGCGGGACGCUUAAUGCGUUAGCUGCGCCACUGAUAAGCAUGCCUACCAACGGCUAGCAUCCAUCGUUUACGGCGUGGACUAC
rnacentral:misc_RNA from 1 species